rnacentral:rRNA from 1 species
AUUGAACGCUGGCGGCAUGCUUUACACAUGCAAGUCGAACGGCAGCGCGGGCUUCGGCCUUGCGGCGAGUGGCGAACGGGUGAGUAAUGCAUCGGAACGUGCCCAGUAGUGGGGGAUAGCCCGGCGAAAGCCGGAUUAAUACCGCAUACGACCUGAGGGUGAAAGCGGGGGACCGAAAGGCCUCGCGCUAUUGGAGCGGCCGAUGUCGGAUUAGCUAGUUGGUGGGGUAAAGGCUUACCAAGGCGACGAUCCGUAGCUGGUCUGAGAGGACGACCAGCCACACUGGAACUGAGACACGGCCCAGACUCCUACGGGAGGCAGCAGUGGGGAAUUUUGGACAAUGGGGGCAAGCCUGAUCCAGCCAUGCCGCGUGCGGGAAGAAGGCCUUCGGGUUGUAAACCGCUUUUGUUCGGGAAGAAAUCCUCUGGGCUAAUACCCCGGGGGGAUGACGGUACCGGAAGAAUAAGCACCGGCUAACUACGUG